GGGAGGGUGGCCGAGCGGACGAAGGCGACGGUCUUGAAAACCGUUGACUGGUUCGCCGAGCUCACGACCGAGCGUGCGAGGAAGUCUCGCGUCGUCUCG
rnacentral:tRNA from 1 species